rnacentral:rRNA from 1 species
CCCUCCCUCUGGCGGCAUGCCUAACACAUGCAAGUCGAACGAGACCUUCGGGUCUAGUGGCGCACGGGUGCGUAACGCGUGGGAACCUGCCCUUAGGUUCGGAAUAACUCCCCGAAAGGGGUGCUAAUACCGGAUAAUGUCUUCGGACCAAAGAUUUAUCGCCUUUGGAUGGGCCCGCGUUGGAUUAGCUAGUUGGUAGGGUAAAAGCCUACCAAGGCGACGAUCCAUAGCUGGUCUGAGAGGAUGAUCAGCCACACUGGGACUGAGACACGGCCCAGACUCCUACGGGAGGCAGCAGUGGGGAAUAUUGGACAAUGGGCGAAAGCCUGAUCCAGCAAUGCCGCGUGAGUGAUGAAGGCCUUAGGGUUGUAAAGCUCUUUUAACCGGGAUGAUAAUGACAGUACCGGGAGAAUAAGCUCCGGCUAACUCCGUG